rnacentral:rRNA from 1 species
AUACCCGGGGUAGUUCCAGGCUGUUAAACCGAUGGCGGGCCCNAGGUGUUCGCGAUAAGCCCAUGANGCUAUNCGCGGCNNCCGGAGGGAAAGCCGUUAAGCCCCGCCNCCUGGGAAGUACGGCCGCAAGGCUGAAACUUAAAGGAAUUGGCGGGGGGAGCACUACAACGGGUGGAGCCUGCGGUUUAAUUGGAUUCAACGCCGGGAAGCUUACCGGGGGAGACAGCGGGAUGAAGGUCGGGCUGAAGACCCUACCAGACUAGCUGAGAGGUGGUGCAUGGCCGCCGUCAGUUCGUACUGUGAAGCAUCCUGUUAAGUCAGGCAACGAGCGANACCCGCGCCCUCAGUUGCCAGCGGAUCGCUUUUGCGAUGCCGGGCACACUGGGGGGACUGCCGGCGCUAAGCCGGAGGAAGGUGCGGGCAACGGCAGGUCCGUAUGCCCCGAAUCCCCCGGGCUACACGCGGGCUACAAUGGCCGGGACAAUGGGUACCGACCCCGAAAGGGAUAGGUAAUCUCCUAAACCCGGUCUAACCUGGGAUCGAGGNCUGCAACUCGNCCUCGUGAACCUGGCAUUCCGUAGAAU